UUACAUUGUAAUUGUAUUAUGCAAGAAAAUGCAAAAAUGGAUUAUGGUCUAAGAUUGUAAUUAGCUAUUAUUUGAAGUUCAUUGCUUGAAAAUUGGCUGUUUUAUAUAGCAGUGCAUUAAUGUGCUUUAACUAUGGUGGGUCCCCUGAUGAUGUCCCCUGAUGGCACUUGAAGUGUCCCCUGAUGGUGGAAGGUGGUGAGCAUGCACCAAGAAGUGCUUUACGAUGGAGACAUGUCCAUGUUUAUAUCAAGAAAUGUCAUGUGCCAUAUUAAAACCUGGCCUACAAACUAGUAUGCUUAACCGUUAAUUUCUUUCAAACAACAGGUGUCUGAGUGAUUGGCGUCUUUAAUCUCUCUCAUUGUUCAAUUCCAAUUAAAACUCGAUUUCAUUCAAGAUUUUUGCUCUUCUGUGAUCUUAUGGCUCUCAAGGAUUAUUCCAUCUGGGGUUGUGCCAACAAAGCUCCUCAAUUGGGCGUUUGGAGAUUUUUUUAUACUGACGUUGGUAGCCAGACUUGACUUGCCAGAGCCAUUAAUGGGGCCUUCCAGGAGCAUAUACUGAGGAUGCAGCUUUGAAAGCAUAUCCAAAAUGUGAGACAGUGCCAUGUGAGGACUUUGAGACUUCAUUCAAGGCUGUUGAAUCGUGGUUAGUGGAUAAAGCUGUUCUACCCAUCGAAAGUUCUGUUGGUGGGAGCAUCCACCCUAAUUAUGAUUUACUUCUUGGACACAAGCUACACAUUGUUGGGGAGGUGCAGUUGCUAAUUAACCACUGCCUCUUAGGAUUACCUGGUGUGAGAAAAGAGGAUCUCAGAGCUGUAAUGAGCCACCCUCAGGCUUUUCUUCAAUGUAAGAUGUUUGCUGAUUUAGAUAUUGCAAAAGAUUAGUGUAGAUGAUACUGCAGCAGUUAAGGUAUACUAAAAUUUCCUUUUCUUUCUGCACAGGCUUGUCAUAACAUGCAUAUGGUCAUCCUUGACUCAUUAUAUUAAUAGUCCAAGGUUCAUGUAUAGCU